UGGGUGCCAUUGCCAUCAUAAGAGAACAAGGGAAGCAUUCAUGAGAUCUGUGGACUAUUGCUAUUGAAGACUUACUUUCAUCAAGUUUGAGGAGGGAAAGACAUCUGGAGCUACUUCUUCUGGACUUGUAUUUAUAUACAGAAUCUUAGCAACACUGGCACCAAUACUGGCAUGCUGAAAAACUUUUAUUUCAUGUUGGUUAUCCAUGCUCCAGUGAGCUGAUGACAUACAUUUUAUCCUCACAAGAACUCUGAGGUACGUUAAAGAGAGUGGGCAAAGGGAAGGGGCUAUUGGUUUGUCUUGUCCUUGUUUCUAUUACAUAUUUUGUGUUUUUAUCUUGUAUUUCUAUGCUGUGAACCGCCCUGAGAUCUACAGAUGAAGAGCAGUAUACAAAUUUAGCAACCUGGGAAGGUAGACCAUCCAAGAGAAGGAAAACUCCGACCCUAAACGUCUGCUACCUUGCAGGAUAGGGAGAAGAAAAGGCUAAAGAGUAAGCCCUACACAAAUCCAGAGUUGGAGUCCCUAAGACAGUUGGAUGGUGCCUUGUACUCCUUGUAUGCUUUGGACCACAUCAGCAAGGCUGAAAGGAGGGUCUUGUCACCUGGGCACCCCAGGACCUUCCUACACACUGCCCAGGCUUGCGCCCCAGGGAGGUCACUUCAGUGCUGCUAACACAGCAGUUUGACUUUACCCCUGGAGGAACACUCCAUUGUCUCUUGAGACAGAUGGAUGCCAGCAACAGGCCAUGGCUGAGUUUCAGGGCUGACUGGAGAUUUGCCUCCAGGUCUCCCUAAUCAUAGCUCCCUACUUAUAACCCUAGUGACUAGACCACACUAACUCACCUUCCAUCUAAUUAUUAUUAGGAAACUAAUAGCAGUUUUGGGAUGCGGGUGGCGCUGUGGGUUAAA